ACAAAUUGUAUUGUAGAGUAAAUGACCAGAUAACUGGAUAUAUUGAUACGCAAGUAAAUGACCAGAUAACUGGAUAUAUUGAUAAACAAGUAAGUGACCAGAUAACUGGAUAAGUUGAUAAACAAGUAAGUAACCAGAUAACUGGAUAAAUAUGAUAAGUAAUACUUGAACAAAUAUAAAGAUUUAAAGCAAUGAAUAUAACCUCAGAUAGUUGACCAGAUAACUGGAUGAGGGAUCUGCGUAAAGUAGUCAACCUCUGUGUUUGACCAGAUAACUGGAAGAGGGAUCUUUUUAAUUAAGUGUUGUUUUUUUAAACAAAAGAUAAAACUAUAAUUAACAGAGAACAACACAAGAGAUUUAUACUGGUUCACCCAAACACGGGCUAGUCCAGUCCCGACCAACUGCCGGAAUUCACUCGCCUAAAGGUAAUGGCAAAACCUUAGAGUAUCAAGGAAACUCUUAAGAACCUCUCUAAGCUUUAAGGCUAUUUCGCUUAGGAACCAGUCUUUUACGGGUAGACUCACACCUUAGAGUAUCAAGGGCACUCUUAAGAACCUCUAACUUUUACGGGUAAGUUAGUACCUUAGAGUAUCAAGGAACUUUUAAAAACCUCUCUAAGCUUUAAGGCUACUUCGCUUAGGAACCAGUCUUUUACGGGUAGACUCACACCUUAGAGUAUUAAGGGCACUCUUAAGAACCUCUAAGUUUUACGGGUAAGUUAGUACCUUAGAGUAUCAAGGAACUCUUAAAAACCUCUGAAAUCUUUAAAGGUAGACUCAACCUAAGAGUUUUCCCGGAAACUCUAUAAAACCAAACUAGAGCUUUAUGGUUGAGCUCACAAACCUUCUCUCACACUUUGGUACUAUUGAGACAACCCUCUCAACCAAAGUGGACACACACAAGAGGUGAUUAGAGGAGUGGAAUAUUAAAGCAAACAACACUUCUUACUUGUAAAGAUGAACAAGAAGAAGUUGGAGAGCUUUUGAAGCUUUGGAAAGCUAGGACACUUGAGCACUUGAAAGCUUGGAAGCUUGGAGGCAAAAACGUGUGGGCAAGUGUGGAGUGAAAGCUCUUGAGUUUGCUUGUAGUGUGGUGAGUGAAAAUGAGGGGAUUACCCUUCUAUUUAUAGCCUUGGCCACUCAAUGUCCACCCUUGGAUCUUCAAUAGAUGGUUCCUUGAUUUCUCACAUAAAUCCAAGCUUUGUCUUUGAUCUUAUCUUGAAUAGUGCUUUUCUUGGAUAGAGUUUGUUGGAGAAUCUUAUCUUUGUAUAAAUUCAACCAUGAAUAGUGUUUUGUCC
rnacentral:lncRNA from 1 species